rnacentral:tRNA from 1 species
UCCCUGGAGGACUAGUGGUUAGGCUUCGGCGCUCUCAUCGCCUCAGCCGGGUUCGAUUUCUGGCCAGGGAA